rnacentral:rRNA from 1 species
CCCUUAGAUGCUCUGGGCCGCACGCGCGCUACACUGGUCGAUGCAACGAGUUUCUUUCCUUGGCCGACAGGCCUGGGCAAUCUUUGAACAUCGAUCGUGAUCGGGAUAGAUUCUUGUAAUUUUUGAUCUUAAACGAGGAAUUCCUAGUAAACGCAAGUCAUCAGCUUGCAUUGAUUACGUCCCUGCCCUUUGUACACACCGCCCGUCGCACCUACCGAUUGAAUGGUCCGGUGAAAUCUCCGGACUGGCGUGAGUCGGAGCAAUCUGACAAACGCCGGAAAGUUGAUUAAACCUUACCAUUUAGAGGAAGGUGAAGUCGUAACG